rnacentral:siRNA from 1 species
UAUUGUAUGAGGUUUACCCAAUA